GCUUGUCUCAAAGAUUAAGCCAUGCAUGUCUUAGUGUAAAUAACUCUUAUGAAACUGCGAAUGGCUCAUUAAAUCAGUUAUCAAAUACGUGAUGGUCGCCUACUACAUGGAUAACCGUAGUAAUUCUAGAGCUAAUACAUGCACAAAGGCCCAUUCACGUGGGUUGUGAUUAUUAGAUUCAAACCGGCCUCGUUCUGGUGAUUCAUAAUAAUUGGUCGAACCGCAUGCCCUUGUGGUGGCGGUGAUUCAUCCUUAUUUCUGCCCUAUCAGCUUUCGACGGUAGUGUAGUGGACUACCGUGGCGCUAACGGGUGACGGAGAAUUAGGGUUCGGUUCCGGAGAGGGAGCCUGAGAAACGGCUACCACAUCCAAGGAAGGCAGCAGG
rnacentral:rRNA from 1 species